rnacentral:rRNA from 1 species
GAGUUUGAUCGUGGCUCAGGAUGAACGCUAGCGGCAGGCCUAAUACAUGCAAGUCGAGGGGCAGCGCGGGUAGCAAUACCUGGCGGCGACCGGCGCACGGGUGCGUAACGCGUAUGCAAUCUACCUUGUACAGGGGGAUAGCCCAGAGAAAUUUGGAUUAAUACCCCAUAGUGUAACGGAAAGGCAUCUUUUUGUUACUAAAGUUCCAACGGUACAAGAUGAGCAUGCGUCCCAUUAGCUAGUUGGUGUGGUAACGGCAUACCAAGGCAACGAUGGGUAGGGGUCCUGAGAGGGAGAUCCCCCACACUGGUACUGAGACACGGACCAGACUCCUACGGGAGGCAGCAGUGAGGAAUAUUGGUCAAUGGGCGCAAGCCUGAACCAGCCAUGCCGCGUGCAGGAUGACGGUCCUAUGGAUUGUAAACUGCUUUUGUACAGGAAGAACACUCCCUCGUGAGGGAACUUGACGGUACUGUAAGAAUAAGGAUCGGCUAACUCCGUGCCAGCCGCCGCCGUAAU